GACAGAGGAUGCAAGCGUUAUCCGGAAUUACUGGGCGUAAAGGGCUCGUAGGUGGCCAACUAAGUCAGACGUGAAAUCCCUCGGCUUAACCGGGGAACUGCGUCUGAUACUGGAUGGCUUGAGUUUGGGAGAGGGAUGCGGAAUUCCAGGUGUAGCGGUGAAAUGCGUAGAUAUCUGGAGGAACACCGGUGGCGAAGGCGGCAUCCUGGACCAAUACUGACGCUGAGGCGCGAAAGCGUGGGUAGCAAACAGG
rnacentral:rRNA from 1 species